rnacentral:rRNA from 1 species
GGACGAACGCUGGCGGCGUGCUUAAUACAUGCAAGUCGAGCGGAUGACGAGGAGCUGCUCCCUCUGAUUCAGCGGCGGACGGGUGAGUACACGUNGGGCAACCUGCCUGUAAGACUGGGAUACUCCCGGGAAACCGGGGCUAAUACCGGAUAGGUGAUGUCUUCGCAUGAAGAGAUCAGGAAAGAUGGCUUCGGCUAUCACUUACAGAUGGGCCCGCGGCGCAUUAGCUAGUUGGUGAGGUAACGGCUCACCAAGGCGACGAUGCGUAGCCGACCUGAGAGGGUGAUCGGCCACACUGGGACUGAGACACGGCCCAGACUCCUACGGGAGGCAGCAGUAGGGAAUCUUCCGCAAUGGACGAAAGUCUGACGGAGCAACGCCGCGUGAGCGAAGAAGGUCCUCGGAUCGUAAAGCUCUGUUGUUAGGGAAGAACAAGUACCGUUCGAAUAGGGCGGUACCGUGACGGUACCUAACCAGAAAGCCACGGCUAACUAC